rnacentral:rRNA from 1 species
UAGUGCUGCAGCUAACGCAUUAAGCACUCCGCCUGGGGAGUACGGUCGCAAGACUGAAACUCAAAGGAAUUGACGGGGGCCCGCACAAGCGGUGGAGCAUGUGGUUUAAUUCGAAGCAACGCGAAGAACCUUACCAGGUCUUGACAUCCUCUGACAACCCUAGAGAUAGGGCUUUCCCUUCGGGGACAGAGUGACAGGUGGUGCAUGGUUGUCGUCAGCUCGUGUCGUGAGAUGUUGGGUUAAGUCCCGCAACGAGCGCAACCCUUGAUCUUAGUUGCCAGCAUUUAGUUGGGCACUCUAAGGUGACUGCCGGUGACAAACCGGAGGAAGGUGGGGAUGACGUCAAAUCAUCAUGCCCCUUAUGACCUGGGCUACACACGUGCUACAAUGGACAGAACAAAGGGCUGCGAGACCGCAAGGUUUAGCCAAUCCCAUAAAUCUGUUCUCAGUUCGGAUCGCAGUCUGCAACUCGACUGCGUGAAGCUGGAAUCGCUAGUAAUCGCGGAUCAGCAUGC